CUACGGAGGGGGCUAGCGUUGUUCGGAAUUACUGGGCGUAAAGCGUACGCAGGCGGAUAUUUAAGUUAGGUGUGAAAUCCCAGGGCUCAACCCUGGAACUGCACUUAAAACUGGGUAUCUAGAGUUAUGGAGAGGUAAGUGGAAUUCCUAGUGUAGAGGUGAAAUUCGUAGAUAUUAGGAGGAACACCAGAGGCGAAGGCGGCUUACUGGACAUAUACUGACGCUGAGGUACGAAAGUGUGGGGAGCAAACGGGAUUAGAAACCCGAGUAGUCC
rnacentral:rRNA from 1 species